AGCUCGUGUCGUGAGAUGUGGUUAGUCCGCAACGAGCGCAACCCCUACUUGUUAGUUGCCAUCAUUCAGUUGGGCACUCUAGCGAGACUGCCGGUAAUAAACCGGAGGAAGGUGGGGAGUGACGUCAAAUCAUCAUGCCCCUUAUGACCUGGGCUACACACGUGCUACAAUGGUUGGUACAACGAGUUGCGAGUCGGUGACGGCGAGCUAAUCUCUUAAAGCCAAUCUCAGUUCGGAUUGUAGGCUGCAACUCGCCUACAUGAAGUCGGAAUCGCUAGUAAUCGCGGAUCAGCACGCCGCGGUGAAUACGUUCCCGGGCCUU
rnacentral:rRNA from 1 species